UACGUAGGGUGCAAGCGUUGUCCGGAAUUAUUGGGCGUAAAGAGCUCGUAGGCGGUUUGUCGCGUCUGCUGUGAAAACCCGAGGCUCAACCUCGGGCCUGCAGUGGGUACGGGCAGACUAGAGUGCGGUAGGGGAGAUUGGAAUUCCUGGUGUAGCGGUGGAAUGCGCAGAUAUCAGGAGGAACACCGAUGGCGAAGGCAGAUCUCUGGGCCGUAACUGACGCUGAGGAGCGAAAGCCAGGGGAGCAAACGGG
rnacentral:rRNA from 1 species